rnacentral:ncRNA from 2 species
UCUCGUUCUCAGGGCGGGGUGAAAUUCCCCACCGGCGGUAAGAAGGUUCUCCUUCAAGCCCGCGAGCGCCCUUCCGUUCCAGCGGAAGGGGUCAGCAGAUUCGGUGUGAAUCCGAAGCCGACGGUCAUAGUCCGGAUGGAAGAGAACGGCG